AAGUGGCGGGCGGUCUAACCAUGCAAGUCGAGCGGUAGAGAGAAGCUUGCUUCUCUUGAGAGCGGCGGACGGGUGAGUAAUGCCUAGGAAUCUGCCUAGUGGUGGGGGAUAACGUUCGGAAACGGACGCUAAUACCGCAUACGUCCUACGGGAGAAAGCGGGGGAUCUUCGGACCUCGCGCCAUUAGAUGAGCCUAGGUCGGAUUAGCUGGUUGGUGAGGUAAUGGCUCACCAAGGCGACGAUCCGUAACUGGUCUGAGAGGAUGAUCAGUCACACUGGAACUGAGACACGGUCCAGACUCCUACGGGAGGCAGCAGUGGGGAAUAUUGGACAAUGGGCGAAAGCCUGAUCCAGCCAUGCCGCGUGUGUGAAGAAGGUCUUCGGAUUGUAAAGCACUUUAAGUUGGGAGGAAGGGUAGUAACCUAAUACGUUGCUACUUUGACGUUACCGACAGAAUAAGCACCGGCUAACUUCGUGCCAGCAGCCGCGGUAAUACGAAGGGUGCAAGCGUUAAUCGGAAUUACUGGGCGUAAAGCGCGCGUAGGUGGUUCAGUAAGUUGGAAGUGAAAUCCCCGGGCUCAACCUGGGAACUGCUUUCAAAACUGCUGAGCUAGAGUACGGUAGAGGGUGGUGGAAUUUCCUGUGUAGCGGUGAAAUGCGUAGAUAUAGGAAGGAACACCAGUGGCGAAGGCGACCACCUGGACUGAUACUGACACUGAGGUGCGAAAGCGUGGGGAGCAAACAGGAUUAGAUACCCUGGUAGUCCACGCCGUAAACGAUGUCAACUAGCCGUUGGAAUC
rnacentral:rRNA from 1 species